rnacentral:rRNA from 1 species
AGCGAACGCUGGCGGCAGGCCUAACACAUGCAAGUCGAACGGAUCCUUCGGGAUUAGUGGCGGACGGGUGAGUAACACGUGGGAACGUGCCCUUUGGUUCGGAACAACUCAGGGAAACUUGAGCUAAUACCGGAUGUGCCCUUCGGGGGAAAGAUUUAUCGCCAUUGGAGCGGCCCGCGUCUGAUUAGCUAGUUGGUGAGGUAACGGCCCACCAAGGCGACGAUCAGUAGCUGGUCUGAGAGGAUGAUCAGCCACACUGGGACUGGGACACGGCCCAGACUCCUACGGGAAGCAGCAGUGGGGAAUCUUGCGCAAUGGGCGAAAGCCUGACGCAGCCAUGCCGCGUGAAUGAUGAAGGUCUUAGGAUUGUAAAAUUCUUUCAGCGGGGACGAUAAUGACGGUACCCGCAGAAGAAGCUCCGGCUAACUUCGUG